GUGUCAGCAGCCGCGGUAAUACGUAGGGUGCGAGCGUUAAUCGGAAUUACUGGGCGUAAAGCGUGCGCAGGCGGCCUUAAAAGUCAGAUGUGAAAUCCCCGAGCUCAACUUGGGAACUGCGUUUGAAACUCUAAGGCUAGAAUAUGUCAGAGGGGGGUAGAAUUCCACGUGUAGCAGUGAAAUGCGUAGAGAUGUGGAGGAAUACCAAUGGCGAAGGCAGCCCCCUGGGAUAAUAUUGACGCUCAUGCACGAAAGCGUGGGGAGCAAACAGGAUUAGAAACCCCAGUAGUCC
rnacentral:rRNA from 1 species